CGCGUAGGCGGUUGGAUAAGUCAGCUGUGAAAACCACGGGCUUAACUCGUGGCCUGCAGUUGAGACUGUCUGGCUUGAGUGUGGGAGAGGAGAGUGGAAUUCCUGGUGUAGCGGUGAAAUGCGUAGAUAUCAGGAGGAACACCGGUGGCGAAGGCGGCUCUCUGGACCACAACUGACGCUGGAGGCGCGAAAGGCUAGGGGAAGCAAAACA
rnacentral:rRNA from 1 species